rnacentral:rRNA from 1 species
GCCAGUCUGGGUGGAGCCAUCCUUGAAAUACCGCCCUUAUCCUCAUUGACGUCUAACCGCGGUCCAUGAACCUGGAUCCGGGACCCUGCGUGGCGGGUAGUUUGACUGGGGCGGUCGCCUCCUAAAGCGUAACGGAGGCGCGCGAAGGUUGGCUCAGAGCGGUCGGAAAUCGCUCGUUGAGUGCAAUGGCAGAAGCCAGCCUGACUGCAAGACUGACAAGUCGAGCAGAGUCGAAAGACGGCCAUAGUGAUCCGGUGGUCCCAAGUGGGAGGGCCAUCGCUCAACGGAUAAAAGGUACGCCAGGGAUAACAGGCUAAUCACUCUUUAGAGACCCUAUCGAUGGAGUGGUUUGGCACCUCGAUGUUGGAUUAUCGCAUCCUGGAGCUGUAAGCGGUUCCAAGGGUUUGGCUGUUCGCCAAGAAAGGCGGUACAUGAUCUGAGUUUAGAACGUUGUAAAACAGUUUGGUCCCUAUCUACCGUAAGUGUUAAAAACUGAAAGGAGUAAACCCUAGUACGAGAGGACCGGGAAAAGUAAACCUCUGGUGUAUCGGUUGUCAUUUUAAUGGCACAGCCGAGUAGCUACGUUUAUAAUAGAUAAUUGCUGAAAGCAUCUAAGCAAGAAACUAACCUUAAAAAAAGUUUUUGAAAAGUCGCGAUAGAUUAUCGCGUGAUAGGCUUAAUGUGUAAGAACUGUAAAGUUUUUAGCUAAUAAGUACUAAAAUUU